CUUAUCUAUUUACCUUUACAGAGAAACAGAUGCAAAGAUGACAGCAAAUUCUUGCUAGCUGUUAAUCCAAAAAAAUAAGUAGUUGCAUAAUCUUACUCUCUUUCAGAAGAAUGUUUUGGGAUCUCAAGUGCAAAACAGAGCUCUUCUCCAUCAUCAGUAUGAAGUACAGGCCCACUUCUGCAUUCUGUAAAUCUCCACUUCUACUCAUCAUGACAACCAAUGAUCUCAAGGUGUGUCUGAAGCUAUGCUGAAAUACACAAACGCCACAAUGUGAUUAAGCUCUCACCUGCCUGCUUGGAAUCUUAAGACACAGUGUUACCUCAGGAUCACUGACUGCAAAAGAUUUUGUGCCUCACAAAGCCAGAGGGAAUAGCUGCAUACACAGAGUGGGCUCCUGCAAAAUACAGGUGUCUGGGAAAGUCCAUGUUUUGGCAGCAGAUGAGCAGAGAUUGCUUGAUAUUUCCUUCACAUCAGUGAAUAAUCCAAGCAGCAGCACACAAACAAAGCACUGUUUUAGUAACACUCUCUGUUGCUCAUGGGAGAACUUCAGGAGGAAGCAGCUACAGACUUUUGCAUCUGACUCAGGACAAGUACUUCUCUCCAAAGUAGCCCAAGGGCUGAGCAGAAACAGCUGUACAAUACAGAUGAAAAGCCAGAAAGAAUAGGUCGAAGACACAGAUGAAGAAAAUUAAAUGAACAAGAACAUCUGAUACACACUUUACCAAAUACUCAUCUAGUUCUGCCAUUUAUUAAGCAAGGUCUUACAAUGUACUCAGCUAUCUCUCCUACAUUGUACUCCAUAAUGAAGAUACUUUGUUUGGCUUAAUAUGCUAAAUAAAAUAAGGAAAACAUGGGCA
rnacentral:lncRNA from 1 species